ACCUAUAUUGCGAAUCAUCUAUC
rnacentral:miRNA from 1 species